rfam:Pseudomonas brenneri strain RGCB 108 Contig008, whole genome shotgun sequence.
ACGUGAGUUGGGUCCGGGCCUGUAUUGGGGCUCAACGAGUUUGGCAGGCUCAGGAGGGUUUUGCCGGACGUCCUUAAGAGUGCAAAG